rnacentral:rRNA from 1 species
GUGGGGAAUCUUAGACAAUGGGGGAAACCCUGAUCUAGCCAUGCCGCGUGAGCGAUGAAGGCCUUAGGGUUGUAAAGCUCUUUCAGCUGGGAAGAUAAUGACGGUACCAGCAGAAGAAGCCCCGGCUAACUCCGUGCCAGCAGCCGCGGUAAUACGGAGGGGGCUAGCGUUGUUCGGAAUUACUGGGCGUAAAGCGCGCGUAGGCGGACCAGAAAGUUGGAGGUGAAAUCCCAGGGCUCAACCUUGGAACUGCCUUUAAAACUCCUGGUCUGGAGUUCGAGAGAGGUGAGUGGAAUUCCGAGUGUAGAGGUGAAAUUCGUAGAUAUUCGGAGGAACACCAGUGGCGAAGGCGGCUCACUGGCUCGAUACUGACGCUGAGGUGCGAAAGCGUGGGGAGCAAACAGGAUUAGAAACCCCUGUAGUCC